GUGCGUGUGUGCGCGCGUGUGCCGCGGCCCCGCCCGCCCGCUCCUCGCUCAGGUGUGAGCGCCAGGCCCUCGGCGGCCCGGCCGGGGUGGGGUCUCCGCCCCUGGAGUUUGGGGGAGGUUUGAGCGAGUGUGCUUGGCCAGGGGCCACCCCAGGAUACCCCUGGAGGGACACCUGAAAGGAUGGGCCCGGGGGAAGCAGGACCUUUGGCCCUCCAGGGCUGCGCCUGGCGUGUGUUCGCGUCUCUGGUAGUGCCAGCCGUGCUUCUUAGGAAAGCGAAGCCCUGUCACCGCCGAGGUAAACUCAACAGUGGACAUGACCUCCUGAGGAAGCUACACUUUCUUGCCGAAGCAGAAGGACCUCCCCUCCCUCCAUGGGAGGAGUGUUGGGGUGUCUAAGACCAUUGUACUCAGGACUCUCCGGAGACUUUGGAGCCUGGCAGUGGAGGGGAGAUGCUGCCUGGUGGAGUGUAAGUCCCUGCCUAGGAUCCUGGUUGCAGAGCCACAAGUACAUUCUGCAGCCUUGUCCAGCCUCACGUCAGUAAAUGGAGAAGACAAGAACAGUGCCCCUUUGAAAGAUUUGGGGAAGAUACAAAAAAAAGUGCACAUGAGAGAGCUUUGUGAAGUGCAAAAGUCACAGGCAUGGGGACCACCAGAUGGAGUGGUGGUUAAGGUGCUGGACACUCCCAAAUGGCUGACCACUAUUUGAGUCCCGGA